UACGUAGGGUGCAAGCGUUGUCCGGAAUUAUUGGGCGUAAAGAGCUCGUAGGCGGUUUGUCGCGUCUGCUGUGAAAACUCGGGGCUUAACCCCGGGCCUGCAGUGGGUACGGGCAGGCUAGAGUGCGGUAGGGGAGACUGGAAUUCCUGGUGUAGCGGUGAAAUGCGCAGAUAUCGGGAGGAACACCGGUGGCGAAGGCGGUUCUCUGGGCCUUACCUGACGCUGAGGAGCGAAAGCGUGGGGAGCGAACAGG
rnacentral:rRNA from 1 species